AUGGAGGAGGAGGAGGCCGCCGGCGUGAGGAAGCGGAAGCGCGGCGGGGAGGCCGUGGCCCUGGUGUCCGGCGGGGAGGCGGGGCUCGUCGAGGGAGGUGGUGGCUUCUCCUGGAAGGAGGCGGAGAUGGAGGAGGGGGAGGGGGAGGAGUACGAGGGCAUCGCGGAGGAGUCGGUGGAGGAGGUGAUGCGGUGGCUGGAGCUGGAGAUCUCCUCCUCGCCGGGGAAGCCCGGCGGCGGCGACGACGGGUUCGUGACCAUCAACGGCAACGAGGAGAGCUGCGGCCCGUCCUUCUCCGCCGCGGCGUCCACCGUCAUGGCCUCCGUGGACACGCGCGCGGGCGCCCCGCCGCCCCCGACGGCCAUCCCCUGGCCGUGGCCCGAGCCCAACAACGACACCACCAAGCCGGCGGCGGCGGACGGCAACGACGACGACGCGGACAUGGCGGAGCUCGUCGACGAGGAGUGGCUGGUGGAGCUGCUGACCGGCGGCGGGCCCGCGCUGGAGGUAGAGUAG
rnacentral:rRNA from 1 species